UCUCCCCUCACGUUCUAUAUUAUACGUCCUUCUCUUUCUCCCCCCUCUCUUCUUGUUCAUCUUCAAUUCCUCUCUUAUCAAUCUCGUUUUUCUCUUCAAAUUUUGCAGCUAAUUUUCAGAUCUUGCAAAUUUCAUUGAAGAGUAAUUGAUAUGAGCGAACCUGGAGCUUCUCAACUAGAAGAAACCGAGGAACAUAUGGACAUUGUAGAGACCCAAAGUUCGCAAGUUCUUGAUAAGAAUGUUGUUGAAAAUGCAGAAGCAAGACACUUAGAAGGAGGAUCGAUAAAUGUGUCUGUGCCUUUGGGUGACCGUAGUGGUUCUAUGCCACUGGACCUCAAUACUGAAGUGUGCACUGAUGAAAAUUCAGGUUAUAAUAAUGCAGUUGUGUCUUUAGAUGAUUCUAGAAAACAUUCUUCAUGUGCAAAAGCCAAAGGAAGCGUUGAACAUAAUUAUCUCCAUUUUAACUUGGUGAGUUUGCUUACAUUGAUUUUUUUUUUGAUUUUAAAUUUAGGCCCUUUUCUUAUUUUUUGGCGUUGCAGGUGUAAAUAAAGGCGGCGGCGGUGGUAGGGAAGACCGGCGGCGGUGGUGGUCAGGCUGGGACUAUUCAAUUUCUGGGUUUAAAUUCCAGGAAUUACAAAACUAGAAUUUUUGGCAUUUAUUGAUUUAUUUGUAAAAUUUAUUUUGAUUAAAUUGUAUUUUUUAGUUUAAAGUUGUAGAAACUAGUUUUUAGUUGUAUUUGUUUUAAGUUGUAUGAGAUAAUAAAAAUUAUUAAUAAAAAUAUAGUUUGUUAAUUUA